AACUGAGUGAAAUCGACAUAGAUCACGGAAUCAUAAUCCGCGUGUCGGGGGUUCAAGUCCCUCCUCCGCUACCA
rnacentral:tRNA from 1 species